UGGAGUAGGUUUAGUGCGUAGGCGCCAUUGAUAGCGAAUUGUGCAUGCUACUGGCAUGGGGUAGUAGUAUCUAUGAAGAUUCUUAACCUCCA
rfam:Glossina brevipalpis unplaced genomic scaffold Scaffold45, whole genome shotgun sequence.